ACGCUCGACCCUACGGGGGCAGCAGUUGGGAAUAUUGGACAAUGGAGGAAACUCUGAUCCAGUGACGCCGCGUGAAGGAAGAAGGUCUUCGGAUUGUAAACUUAUUUUGUCAGGGAAGAAAAAUGACUGUACCUGAAGAAAAAGCACCGGCUAACUACGUGCUAGCAGCCGCGGUAAUCUGAGCGGGCUGGCAAGGC
rnacentral:rRNA from 1 species